GCCUGGGUGGUAUGAAUGCACUUGGCUGCUAACCAAAAGGUUGGAGGUUCAAGUCCACCCAGAGGCA
rnacentral:tRNA from 1 species